AACGGUCUAUACCUGCGGUACCUGCGGAAGGAUCAUUAGUGAACGCCCUCACGGGCUUAUAACUAUUCCAAACCUCUGUGAACCGUGCCCUUCGGGGCUAUUUUACAAACAUGGUGUAAUGAACGUCAUAUAUCAUAACAAAACAAAACUUUCAGCAACGGAUCUCU
rnacentral:misc_RNA from 1 species